ensembl:snRNA Gm25322 predicted gene, 25322
AUGCUUGCUUCAGCAGCACAUAUACCAAACUUGGAAUGGUGCACAGAAGAUUAGAAUCCCUGCGCAAGAAUGCUAUGCAAAUCCGUGAAACCUUCCAUAUUAAA